AUGGCCCUUUCUGAUCUCAAGUUCGAGCCUGGGUUGGCGUUCGAGGCCUUCAUCUGGAAGCAAUUUGGUGUCCCAGUGAAUCACUUUGAUGGUAGCAAGCUCAAGGAAUUCGUCAUGGUCGCAGAAUUCUCUCGUUCAAGGCUUCGUAUCAACAUUCACUCGGCCUGUCUCAUUCUGCAAUCUUGUUUUGGAGGUCAUGCUUCCCGUUUCAAGGUAUCUUGUAUGCAAAACUGGUCUUUCAAAUUCAGUGUCGUCUCUAGAGAUGUGGGUUUCGCUAUCAACAAAGGUGGGAAUUGUUUAAAUGAUCUCUUCAAUGUGGGUUUCUUUCGUUGGGGCAAGGGAGGCCCGGAUUUUCGCAAGGAAUUCAGACUCUACCAACAAGAAAUUGAGCUGGAAUGGACCCUGGUUGAUCGUUCCAAAGAUCGUAGAUCUCAUGCCGAAGCAGUUCAAUCCCCACAGAUUUUUUCUUCAGGUGAAUUGAAUGUUCAUCCUUCAUGUUUACAUGACUUUUGA
rnacentral:rRNA from 1 species